rnacentral:rRNA from 1 species
AUACGUAGGGGGCGAGCGUUGUCCGGAAUGAUUGGGCGUAAAGGGCGCGUAGGCGGCCCGGUAAGUCUGGAGUGAAAGUCCUGUUUUUAAGAUGGGAAUUGCUUUGGAUACUGUCGGGCUUGAGUGCAGGAGAGGUAAGUGUAAUUCCCAGUGUAGCGGUGAAAUGCGUAGAGAUUGGGAGGAACACCAGUGGCGAAGGCGACUUACUGGACUGUAACUGACGCUGAGGCGCGAAAGUGUGGGGAGCAAACAGGAUUAGAUACCCUGGUAGUCCACACUGUAAACGAUGAAUGCUAGGUGUAGGGGGUAUCGACCCCUUCUGUGCCGCAGCAAACGCAAUAAGUAUUCCACCUGGGGAGUACGGUCGCAAGAAUGAAACUCAAAUGAAUUGGCGGGG